AUCUUGCGAACAAAACAAAACUACGUGAACACAUGCUUGCAAAGGCCGUAUUCAAAUAGGCAAAUAAUUCAACACGCUGGCAUGGAUAUUUCAUUAAAUAUAGCAACUGGACCAGCAAUCUCAGGCAAUAAUCUUGUACCUGCAAAAAAGAAGACCUCUGCAGGUUCAUCAUCGCGCAGUGAUGGUGGCUUCACGUUUUCAUUCGGCGGAGCUCAGCAUAAAGUAAAAGCAAUUGUAGCACGUAAGCGUCCAGUUAAAAGGCCACAAACAACUGAUGAUGGCAAAAAACUUUCGCAGAAACUUUUGGUACAACUUUCCAAGAAUAAAAAUUCGGAAAAGAAAUCAGACACUACAAAAACAAAUGCUGCCGAAUCGGGAAAUGCACAUAACCCAUUUAGUAAAAUUGAGAGCCCCAAAUCAUCAACUAAUUCCAUAGAUAAUGGGCUCAUACUUAAUAUUGCUACGGAUUUCGUACCGAGUGCGCGACCCCUACCAAAGCAGAAGCUUAGUCAAGCUGAGCGUUUGCGAAACAUGGCCAAACUGAAAAGUGAACAGACAAAAAAUUAUUUUACAAAGAAACCAUUUGAUAAAAAUGCAAAAAAAUCCUUCAACCCACGUAAAAAUUUUAUGCAAAAAAAUUCACAAAACGAGGAAAGUACUGCAGGUGUUCAACAAAGUAGUGUGAAUUUAGUAGCACGUAAAGCAAAUGCGUUUCGCGUUGUUAGACCCCAAGACAAAUCAGUUAAAAAAGUUGGUCUAUUUGCGGAUAGUCCCAAUACACCUGUUAUGGGCCAACGUUUUGUUAAACCUAUAGUGGAACGACUUUUCGAUGGUACAAAAAUUGGUUCACUCAACAUUCACCCACAUGCUGUGAAAAAUUUAGCAGACGUGUUGAGUAUUGUUGAACUAACGACUGUGCAGAAGAAAACCAUUCCGUUGGCGCUUGAAGGUAAAGACUUGCUUGUACGUUCACAGACUGGCUCCGGUAAAACUCUGGCUUACGCCUUGCCAGUAGUUGAAAAGCUGCAGGCGGUGCGUCCAAAGAUAACACGUGACUCAGGCGUGCUGGCUGUAGUCAUUGUGCCCACACGCGAAUUGGCCGUGCAAACGUAUGAACUUUUUCAAAAGCUAUUAAAACCAUUUACAUGGAUCGUACCCGGUGUUCUGAUGGGUGGCGAGCGUCGCAAGGCAGAAAAGGCGCGCAUACGUAAAGGCAUCAAUAUAUUAGUUGGCACGCCUGGACGAGUUUUGGAUCAUUUGUUGCAUACGGAGACUUUUAAAGUACACAAUACAAAAUUCUUAGUGCUAGAUGAGGCAGAUCGCCUAUUGGAAAUGGGUUAUGAACGUGAUGUUAAGCAAAUUGUAGAAGCAAUCGAUACACAACGUUCCAAACCAGCUGAAGAUGGUACUGUAACCGAAGAACGUCUACAACGUUUAUUAUUAUCGGCGACGCUCACUGCGAAUGUGCAACGACUGGCAGGGCUCACACUAAAAGAACCUGUUUUCGUUGACAAUAGCGAUGAAGACGCCUCAAGUAUACCCAAAACUAAUGGCUAUAAUAAGACCGACAUCGAAGGAUUAACUGCGGAUGCACUGGAUGACGAAGAAGAGAAGGGCAUAAUGACCAUACCAGAUAACUUGAAAUUGCAUUUCACAGUUGUGCCUCCAAAACUGCGCUUAGUUACUUUGUGCGCCAUAUUAGCGUAUGAAUUCAGCGAUAAACAGCGCUUAAAGGCCAUUGUCUUUAUGAGUACAAUGGAAAUGGUAAACUUUCAUCAUGAUUUACUAAAUGAACUGCUGACACAAAAAGUACUCGAUGAAGAUGACGAAGAAGUGAUCAAGGAGAACGACGAAAGUGAAGAUGAUGAUGAAACGCCGUUACUUAAGGGUUUACGAUUUUUUAAAUUGCAUGGCUCAAUGACACAAACCGAGCGCCAAGGCGUGUUCAAUGGUUUUCGCGAAUGCAAAUCUGGUGUUCUGCUCACAACGGAUGUAGCGGGACGUGGCAUUGAUGUUCCUGAAGUUGAUUUGGUUGUUCAGUAUUCACCACCGCAAAAGGUUGCCGAUUUCGUGCAUCGGGUAGGACGCACAGCACGCGCCGGUCACAGUGGUAAGGCGCUUUUACUGCUCACACCCUCCGAGGCACAGUUUGUACGUUUUCUGGAGGAUCAGCGCAUAAGAAUAUCACAAGUUGAUAUGGAUAAUUAUUUAAAAACACUCAAUGAGCAUGACGAUGAGGCGAACACAAUGCAAGAAGCGGCGUCAAAUCUGCAACACAAAUGUCAAGAACUCAUAGCUGAUGAUAAAGAAAUGCAUAAUAAAGCAUGUAAAGGUAGGUGACGAUAAUUUAUUUCUAAAAGCUGUCAGAUUUUGUUUUGUGUUGGUGAGUUGAUAAAGUGAAGAGAAAGAAAAUUGAUAACGAUAUGAAAAUGUAAAGUGUGCUGAAAUAUUGAAAGCCAGUUAUAUUUGAAAAUUAAUAAUUUUGAAUGUAUCCAAUGCAUGAUUAACCAAAAGUUUUUAUUUGCGAAUAUGUUUACUUUGAUGAAAUGUUGUAUGCUGCAUAAUGUUUUUGUUCCUUCGUCUCCUGGACGAAAUUCUAUUCCACCUUCCCGAAAGAACUUAAACCGAUAUUUAAUAUUAAAAACGCGCACAUGGGUCAUUUUGCGAAGAGCUUCGGUCUGAAGGAUCAACCAAAAACAUUUACAAAGAAGCAUUCGGAACCAAAAGCGCCGCCACCCACAAACCGCUUAACUUACACAGAAAGAGACCCCGAAAAAAUUAAACAAGAAAAACGUGCAAAAAAGCGAAUGUUCUCCACCACCGUGACCAACGAAGUACGCAACCCUAAUCGGCAGCAAAGCAAUAAACUGGUGAAAAUGAUGCCUGCCUCCAGAGCACUCACCACAUCAGAGUUUGACAGUGGCUUGCCUUCCCUUAAGAAACGGAAGAAAGCUUAACAACACUGUUUUAGAUUCUUAUAUUUUGUGAAAAUGUUUUAUGUUUUUUUAAAUCCGAAAUAUGUGUAAUUUUUAUAGAGUAGUGACACCCAAUUGAGAAAUUUGGUAUUUACACUAGCGGAACUGUGAAAUAAAAAAUGUUAUGCAAUUGAA